UUUUGAGACGGAGUCUCCCUCUGUCACACAGGCUGGAGUACAGUGGUGUGAUCUCAGCUUAUUGCACCCUCCCCCUCCCGGGUUCAAGCAAUUCUCCCGCCUCAGCCUCCCGAGUAGCUGGGAUUACAGGUGCAUGCCACCAUGCCCGGCUAAUUUUUGUAUUUUUAGUAGAGUCAGGGUUUCACCAUGUUGGCCGGGCUGGUCUUCAGCUCCUGACCUCAAGUGAUCCACCCGCCUCGGCCUCCCAAAGUGCUGGGAUUACAGGUCUGAGCCAUCGUGCCCGGCCAAGCCUGCUCUUUUUCAGGUGGCCAAGGCAAUUUUCAAAUGUGAUGUGAUUUCUCUUAUUUUUUACAAACAUACAAACCUUGCCUAUAUGGAAUUAGUGUCUAUAUUUCAGAAAAAUUAAGUUUCUGAUUUCAUAUGUGGAAAUUCAUAGAAUGCAGAAAUUCCAAACUGAAUUUCCUAAAUAUUUUUCAUAAGACCUUCUACAUAAAUAAUUCUGACCUAUUUAGGGAA
rnacentral:lncRNA from 1 species